rnacentral:rRNA from 1 species
ACGCACGCUGGCGGCGUGCUUCACCCCUGCAAGUCGCACGGAAAGGCCCUGCUUUUGUGGGGUGCUCGAGUGGCGAACGGGUGAGUAACACGUGAGUAACCUGCCCUUGACUUUGGGAUAACUUCAGGAAACUGGGGCUAAUACCGGAUAGGAGCUCCUGCUGCAUGGUGGGGGUUGGAAAGUUUCGGCGGUUGGGGAUGGACUCGCGGCUUAUCAGCUUGUUGGUGGGGUAGUGGUUUACCAAGGCUUUGACGGGUAGCCGGCCUGAGAGGGUGACCGGCCACAUUGGGACUGAGAUACGGCCCAGACUCCUACGGGAGGCAGCAGUGGGGAAUAUUGCACAAUGGGCGGAAGCCUGAUGCAGCAACGCCGCGUGCGGGAUGACGGCCUUCGGGUUGUAAACCGCUUUCGCCUGUGACGAAGCGUGAGUGACGGUAAUGGGUAAAGAAGCACCGGCUAACUACGUG